AAAAAAAAUUUUAAAAGAAAAAAAAAAUUCAGAUUAGUUUCUAAUUAAGUGCUUACAGGCAACGAAUCAAAAUGGCUUUGAUACCAAAUUGAUGUAGAGCCAAUAGAACAAACAAAGGGAAAAGAAGUAAUUCUCUAAAUUUCCAUUAAUUUUUGCCUUUCAUCGUCUUCUCCACAGUUUAUCUUCUUUCCCUAGUAUAUUCUAUGCAUCUCACAACUUCAUCCUCAUAGCCAGAGGAAUCAUUAUGCUCACUCUCAUGCUUAUGUUUGCACAUUGACUCUGAAACUGACACAAUUUAGACAUUAAGAAAUGUAGAAAGAGAUAAUUCUUAUUG
rnacentral:misc_RNA from 1 species